rnacentral:rRNA from 1 species
GACGAACGCUGGCGGCGCGCUUAACACGUGCAAGUCGAACGGAAAGGCCUGCUUUCCCUUGUGGAUUGCGGGUACUCGAGUGGCGAACGGGUGAGUAACACGUGAGUGAUCUGCCCCCAACUUGGGUAUAAGCCUGGGAAACUGGGUCUAAUUCCCGAUAGGACUGCAGGGUGGUGCCUGUGGUGGAAAACGAUUUUCUAGUGGUUGGGGAUGAGCUCGCGGCCUAUCAGCUUGUUGGUGGGGUAAUGGCCUACCAAGGCGGCGACGGGUAGCCGGCCUGAGGGGGUGGACGGCGACAUUGGGACUGAGAUACGGCCCAGACGCCUACGGGAGGCAGCAGUGGGGAAUAUUGCACAAUGGGCGGAAGCCUGAUGCAGCGACGCCGCGUGGGGGAUGACGGCCUUCGGGUUGUAAACUCCUUUCGACCGCGAGGAAGCCACCUGGUUGGAAGGGUGGUGACGGUAGUGGUAGAAGAAGCACCGGCUAACUACGU